rnacentral:lncRNA from 1 species
CACUACAAAAGAGCCUAAAACCACGAGCUUCAACAAACUUAAAAGGUAAUUCAUCCAAAACUAUCAUUUUAGCACAUGCAACUCUACACUCUUCCUUGGUUUGACCAACAACAAUAAGAUUGCUCCCUCCACCCUCUUUCUUGUUCUCAAAUGAUAAGGUUUUUUGCUUCUUAUCCACUAAUCUACCUGGAUACUUCUUACAAUGAUUUGUCAAAUGAUUACUCAAUGUACUAGUACCACACUUCUUAGUACCACAAGCAUAAUCUACUCCACAAUAAUUACAUUUACACUUAACAUCUGAAUCAUCCCUUGAGCCCAAUAGAGUGAAGUGAU